rnacentral:misc_RNA from 1 species
UACGUAGGGAGCGAGCGUUGUCCGGAAUCAUUGGGCGUAAAGAGCUCGUAGGCGGCUUUGCAAGUCGGCGGUGAAAGCCAGGGACUCAACUCCUGGAGGUCCGUCGAUACUGCAAUGGCUUGAGUCCGGCAGGGGAGUGUGGAAUUCCUGGUGUAGCGGUGAAAUGCGCAGAUAUCAGGAAGAACACCAGUGGCGAAGGCGGCACUCUGGGCCGAGACUGACGCUCAGGAGCGAAAGCUAGGGGAGCAAACAGG